GACGAACGCUGGCGGCGUGCCUAAUACAUGCAAGUCGAGCGAGCGGAACUAACAGAUUUACUUCGGUAAUGACGUUAGGAAAGCGAGCGGCGGAUGGGUGAGUAACACGUGGGGAACCUGCCCCAUAGUCUGGGAUACCACUUGGAAACAGGUGCUAAUACCGGAUAAGAAAGCAGAUCGCAUGAUCAGCUUUUAAAAGGCGGCGUAAGCUGUCGCUAUGGGAUGGCCCCGCGGUGCAUUAGCUAGUUGGUAAGGUAAAGGCUUACCAAGGCGAUGAUGCAUAGCCGAGUUGAGAGACUGAUCGGCCACAUUGGGACUGAGACACGGCCCAAACUCCUACGGGAGGCAGCAGUAGGGAAUCUUCCACAAUGGACGCAAGUCUGAUGGAGCAACGCUGCGUGAGUGAAGAAGGUUUUCGGAUCGUAAAGCUCUGUUGUUGGUGAAGAAGGAUAGAGGUAGUAACUGGCCUUUAUUUGACGGUAAUCAACCAGAAAGUCACGACUAACUACGUGCCAGCAGCCGCGGUAAUACGUAGGUGGCAAGCGUUGUCCGGAUUUAUUGGGCGUAAAGCGAGCGCAGGCGGAAGAAUAAGUCUGAUGUGAAAGCCCUCGGCUUAACCGAGGAACUGCAUCGGAAACUGUUUUUCUUGAGUGCAGAAGAGGAGAGUGGAACUCCAUGUGUAGCGGUGGAAUGCGUAGAUAUAUGGAAGAACACCAGUGGCGAAGGCGGCUCUCUGGUCUGCAACUGACGCUGAGGCUCGAAAGCAUGGGUAGCGAACAGGAUUAGAUACCCUGGUAGUCCAUGCCGUAAACGAUGAGUGCUAAGUGUUGGGAGGUUUCCGCCUCUCAGUGCUGCAGCUAACGCAUUAAGCACUCCGCCUGGGGAGUACGACCGCAAGGUUGAAACUCAAAGGAAUUGACGGGGGCCCGCACAAGCGGUGGGGCAUGUGGUUUAAUUCGAAGCAACGCGAAGAACCUUACCAGGUCUUGACAUCUAGUGCCAUUUGUAGAGAUACAAAGUUCCCUUCGGGGACGCUAAGACAGGUGGUGCAUGGCUGUCGUCAGCUCGUGUCGUGAGAUGUUGGGUUAAGUCCCGCAACGAGCGCAACCCUUGUUAUUAGUUGCCAGCAUUAAGUUGGGCACUCUAAUGAGACUGCCGGUGACAAACCGGAGGAAGGUGGGGAUGACGUCAAGUCAUCAUGCCCCUUAUGACCUGGGCUACACACGUGCUACAAUGGGCAGUACAACGAGAAGCGAGCCUGCGAAGGCAAGCGAAUCUCUGAAAGCUGUUCUCAGUUCGGACUGCAGUCUGCAACUCGACUGCACGAAGCUGGAAUCGCUAGUAAUCGCGGAUCAGCACGCCGCGGUGAAUACGUUCCCGGGCCU
rnacentral:rRNA from 1 species